AUACGUAGGGGGCGAGCGUUGUCCGGAAUGAUUGGGCGUAAAGGGCGCGUAGGCGGCCCGGUAAGUCUGGAGUGAAAGUCCUGUUUUUAAGAUGGGAAUUGCUUUGGAUACUGUCGGGCUUGAGUGCAGGAGAGGUAAGUGGAAUUCCCAGUGUAGCGGUGAAAUGCGUAGAGAUUGGGAGGAACACCAGUGGCGAAGGCGGCUUACUGGACUGUAACGGACGCUGAGGCGCGCAAGUGUGGGGAGCAAACAGGAUUAGAUUCCCUGGUAGUCCACACUGUAAACGAUGAAUGCUAGGUGUAGGGAGUAUCGACCCCUUCUGUGCCGCAGUCAACACAAUAAGCAUUCCGCCUGGGGAGUACGGCCGCAAGGUUGAAACUCAAAGGAAUUGACGGGG
rnacentral:rRNA from 1 species